UGAGCCCACACACUGAGCAGAGGAUGCCAGAAAGCCGAGUUAUUGGAAGCCACAUGCAGCAAGGCACUAGUUUCUGGAAUAGAUGAAGAACACUCCAAACUCAACCAUCAAAGCAGUCAGCCCCUCCAGGAAAGGAGCAAAGACAUAAUGAGACAUCGCAGUAUGGCACAUAUGCGGCUAGUACGUAGGAUGUGGAGAGAUAGCUAGCAUCCGCCUGUGAGAAAACGCAACCUCAGCAUCACAAACGGCAUCACUACACACCUUCUGAACUAACUAAAAUGCAAAAUCUUGGCAUCAGCAGAUGCCAGGAGGAAUGCAGGGAAUCUGGAGCCCUCCGACACAUGGCAGGAGAGUAACAAGGCCCAGCACUCAGGAGAGGGUGGCUGACAGCUUCUCAGGGAGUAAACAUGGAGCUGUCAUGUGACCCGGCAGUUGUACGCUGGGGCAUUUUCCCAAGAGGAAUAGAAAGAUGUUCACAUAAAAACUGGUACACAAGUGUUCAUCACAGCUCUGCUCAGGCAGCCAAAACCCAGAAAGCACCCAUCUGCCCUUCAAGCAGUGGCUAUAUCCACAGCACAGAAUCCUGUGCGGUACAAGACGAACUACUCACCCGGCACCUCGGUUUGACUCUCCAGGGAAUAGGACUGAGUCAAAAAUGCCAUUCCUAAAAGGUCACAUGUUACGUGAUUGUAUCUAUAUAACACUGUUGAUGUGACAAAAGUGUAUAAGAACAGAUUAAUGGCUGCUGGGGAUGAGGGGCAGGGGCCUGGAGACAGGGAUUGGGCAUUGUAAUUAACG
rnacentral:lncRNA from 1 species